rnacentral:tRNA from 1 species
GGUGGAAUGGCCGAGAGGCGAGGCAGCGGCCUGCAAAGCCGUUUACACGGGUUCAAAUCCCGUUUCCACCUC